GAGGCGAACCGGGGGAACUGAAACAUCUAAGUACCCCGAGGAAAAGAAAUCAACCGAGAUUCCGAAAGUAGCGGCGAGCGAAAUUGGACUAGCCCUUAAGCUUUACACGCGUUAGACGAACGGUCUGGAAAGUCCGACGAUACAGGGUGAUAGUCCCGUAGUUGACGACGUGUGUUCAGUGAAAUCGAGUAGGGCGGGACACGUGAUAUCCUGUCUGAAUAUGGGGGGACCAUCCUCCAAGGCUAAAUACUACUGACUGACCGAUAGUGAACCAGUACCGUGAGGGAAAGGCGAAAAGAACCCCUGUGAGGGGAGUGAAAUAGAACCUGAAACCGUGUACGUACAAGCAGUAGGAGCACCUUCGUGGUGUGACUGCGUACCUUUUGUAUAAUGGGUCAGCGACUUAUAUUCAGUGGCAAGGUUAACCAUCUAGGGGAGCCGUAGGGAAACCGAGUCUUAACUGGGCGUUCAGUCUCUGGAUAUAGACCCGAAACCAGGUGAUCUAGCCAUGGGCAGGUUGAAGGUUGAGUAACAUCAACUGGAGGACCGAACCGACUAAUGUUGAAAAAUUAGCGGAUGACUUGUGGCUAGGGGUGAAAGGCCAAUCAAACCUGGAGAUAGCUGGUUCUCCCCGAAAGCUAUUUAGGUAGCGCCUCGGACGAAUACUACUGGGGGUAGAGCACUGUUAAGGCUAGGGGGUCAUCCCGACUUACCAACCCUUUGCAAACUCCGAAUACCAGUAAGUACUAUCCGGGAGACACACGGCGGGUGCUAACGUCCGUCGUGGAGAGGGAAACAACCCAGACCGCCAGCUAAGGUCCCAAAUUACUACUAAGUGGGAAACGAUGUGGGAAGGCUCAGACAGCCAGGAUGUUGGCUUAGAAGCAGCCAUCAUUUAAAGAAAGCGUAAUAGCUCACUGGUCGAGUCGGCCUGCGCGGAAGAUGUAACGGGGCUAAGUAGUAAACCGAAGCUGCGGCAAUAUACUUUUGUAUAUUGGGUAGGGGAGCGUUCUGUAAGCGGUUGAAGGUGUGUGGUAACGCAUGCUGGACGUAUCAGAAGUGCGAAUGCUGACAUGAGUAACGAUAAAGGGGGUGAAAAACCUCCUCGCCGGAAGACCAAGGGUUCCUGUCCAACGUUAAUCGGGGCAGGGUAAGUCGACCCCUAAGGCGAGGCCGAAAGGCGUAGUCGAUGGGAAACGGGUUAAUAUUCCCGUACUUCUUACAAUUGCGAUGGGGGGACGGAGAAGGCUAGGUGGGCCUGGCGACGGUUGUCCAGGUUCAAGUGCGUAGGCUUAAGAGUUAGGUAAAUCCGGCUCUUUUUAAGGCUGAGACACGACGUCGAGCACCUACGGGUGUGAAGUCAUUGAUGCCAUGCUUCCAGGAAAAGCCUCUAAGCUUCAGAUUGUAAGGAAUCGUACCCCAAACCGACACAGGUGGUCGGGUAGAGAAUACCAAGGCGCUUGAGAGAACUCGGGUGAAGGAACUAGGCAAAAUGGUACCGUAACUUCGGGAGAAGGUACGCUCUUGAUGGUGAAGUCCCUUGCGGAUGGAGCUGACGAGAGUCGCAGAUACCAGGUGGCUGCAACUGUUUAUUAAAAACACAGCACUGUGCAAAAUCGUAAGAUGACGUAUACGGUGUGACGCCUGCCCGGUGCCGGAAGGUUAAUUGAUGGGGUUAGACUUCGGUCGAAGCUCUUGAUCGAAGCCCCGGUAAACGGCGGCCGUAACUAUAACGGUCCUAAGGUAGCGAAAUUCCUUGUCGGGUAAGUUCCGACCUGCACGAAUGGCGUAAUGAUGGCCACGCUGUCUCCACCCGAGACUCAGUGAAAUUGAAAUCGCUGUGAAGAUGCAGUGUACCCGCGGCUAGACGGAAAGACCCCGUGAACCUUUACUACAGCUUGGCACUGAACAUUGACCCUACAUGUGUAGGAUAGGUGGGAGGCUUUGAAGCACGUACGCCAGUAUGUGUGGAGCCGUCCUUGAAAUACCACCCUUGUAGUGUUGAUGUUCUAACGUCGACCCCUUAUCGGGGUUGCGGACAGUGCCUGGUGGGUAGUUUGACUGGGGCGGUCUCCUCCCAAAGAGUAACGGAGGAGCACGAAGGUGGGCUAAUCACGGUUGGACAUCGUGAGGUUAGUGCAAUGGCAUAAGCCCGCUUGACUGCGAGAAUGACAAUUCGAGCAGGUGCGAAAGCAGGUCAUAGUGAUCCGGUGGUUCUGAAUGGAAGGGCCAUCGCUCAACGGAUAAAAGGUACUCCGGGGAUAACAGGCUGAUACCGCCCAAGAGUUCAUAUCGACGGCGGUGUUUGGCACCUCGAUGUCGGCUCAUCACAUCCUGGGGCUGAAGUCGGUCCCAAGGGUAUGGCUGUUCGCCAUUUAAAGUGGUACGCGAGCUGGGUUUAGAACGUCGUGAGACAGUUCGGUCCCUAUCUGCCGUGGGCGUUGGAAGAUUGAAGGGGGCUGCUCCUAGUACGAGAGGACCGGAGUGGACGAACCUCUGGUGUUCGGGUUGUGUCGCCAGACGCAUUGCCCGGUAGCUAAGUUCGGAAUCGAUAACCGCUGAAAGCAUCUAAGCGGGAAGCGAGCCCUGAGAUGAGUCUUCCCUGAUACUUUAAGUAUCCUAAAGGGUUGUCGGAGACUACGACGUUGAUAGGUCAGGUGUGUAAGUGCUGUGAGGCAUUGAGCUAACUGAUACUAAUUGCCCGUGAGGCUUAACCAUACAACACCCAAGGGGUUU
rnacentral:rRNA from 1 species